UCUGCUGUGAUUGCACCUUGAAUUACAGAAGGCUUUCUAAGCACAGCUUUUGAGCUGCUUUUCCUGGACAAGCAGGAAAAAACUAAGUAGAACAAAGGCCUUGAAAACAUAUUUAAGGACUCRGCCAGAUCCCUGAAGAUGUGUCCCUGCACUGCCAGCAAGAAGCUGCCUCCUGUCCCUCGACUGGAGGUUGAGAACACAGGCAACAACUGGGAAGAGCAGG